rnacentral:rRNA from 1 species
GAUGAACGCUGGCGGCGUGCCUAAUACAUGCCAGUCGAGCGAACGGACGAGAAGCUUGCUUCUCUGAUGUUAGCGGCGGACGGGUGAGUAACACGUGGAUAACCUACCUAUAAGACUGGGAUAACUUCGGGAAACCGUAGCUAAUACCGGAUAAUAUUUUGAACCGCAUGGUUCAAAAGUGAAAGACGGUCUUGCUGUCACUUAUAGAUGGAUCCGCGCUGCAUUAGCUAGUUGGUAAGGUAACGGCUUACCAAGGCAACGAUGCAUAGCCGACCUGAGAGGGUGAUCGGCCACACUGGAACUGAGACACGGUCCAGACUCCUACGGGAGGCAGCAGUAGGGAAUCUUCCGCAAUGGGCGAAAGCCUGACGGAGCAACGCCGCGUGAGUGAUGAAGGUCUUCGGAUCGUAAAACUCUGUUAUUAGGGAAGAACAAAUGUGUAAGUAACUGUGCACAUCUUGACGGUACCUAAUCAGAAAGCCACGGCUAACUACGUG